rnacentral:rRNA from 1 species
UUGACCUCGGAUCAUGUAGGGAUACCCGCUGAACUUAAGCAUAUCAAUAAG